CUUAAAUUUCUCAAAUUAAAUAAUGACCUUAAUUUUCUCUGAUUCCCCUUCACAAAGAGUAACAAGUAUGAGAUUGAUAAUUUACAAGCUCUGGGUUGUUAGCAUGCAGCCUUUGAGCGUAUACAAAAGUCAAUAGGAAUCAUACCCAUUAUCCAGUCAGUAUUUGAUAACAUGGUGGCGAAGCCAGAGAUCAUACAUGAUCAUAUGGAAUGCAUCAUAUUUGAUUGGAG
rnacentral:misc_RNA from 1 species